GGUAGAAGCUGUUCAGGUUCUGUUGGUUCCAGACUUGGUUCAGCAGUGCGGCUCACCGUAGCAGAGAGAACAGUCUAGGACCUGGGUGGUUGGAGUCUUUGAUCAUUUUUUAGGGCUUUCCUCUGACACCGCCUGGGUACAGAGGUUUUAUGGGUGUUCUUCAUCUGAAGCCCAAACUACAUCAUCCAUAACAGUUGUCAAGACACUGAGUUAAUACUGUGGCCGCAAUGUAGGAUUAUUGUAAGAUGAAUGUCAGAACACACACACAGAGGAGAUCAUGUGAAUCUAAGCUGCAACAGGACGGCUGGCGGCUCCAUCAGAACAAAGACUCAUCACUCUGCAGUUGCCUAACAAGCGUGACAGCUUUAGCUUCAGACAGUGACAGCGUUCUGCGGUCCCCGUCUCUCCUCAUGCUCAACGAACGGUUUCGCAGAGAAAAACCUUUUCUGAAGGAAAUCUGGCACCAUCCCGACGGUGAAGCAUGGUGGUGGCAGCGUCAUGCUCUGGGGAGGUUUUUCAGCGGCAGGGACUGGGAGACUAGUCAGGAUCGAGGGAAAAGUGAACAGGGAGAUCCUUGAUUAAAAACCUGCUCCAGAACACUCAGGACCUCAGACUGGGUCAAAGGUUCACCUUCCAACAGGACAACGACCCUAAGCACACAGUCAAGACAACACAGGAGUGGCUUCGGGACAAAUCUCUGAAUGUCCUUGAGAGGCCCAGCCAGAGCCUGGACUUGAACCUGAACUCUGAUCUCUGGAGAGACCUGAAAAUAGCUGUGCAGCGACGCUCCCCAUCCAACCUGAAAGGGCUUGAGAGGAUCUGCAGAGAAGAAUGGGAGAUACUCCCCAAAUACAGGUGUACCAAGCUUGUAGUGUCAUACCCAAGAAAACCAGAGGCUGUAAUCACUGCCAAAGGUGCUUCAACAAAGUACAGAUUAAAGAGUCUUAAUACUUAGAUGAUAUGUCUUAAAAAACAGUUUUUGCUUUGUCGUUGUGGGGUUAUUGUGAGGUCGUUGUGGGGUUAUUGUGAGGUCGUUGUGGGGUUAUUGUGAGGUCGUUGUGGGGUUAUUGUGAGGUCGUUGUGGGGUUAUUGUGAGGUCGUUGUGGGGUUAUUGUGACGGCGUUGUGGGGUUAUUGUGACGGCGUUGUGGGGUUAUUGUGAGGUCGUUGUGGGGUUAUUGUGAGGGCGUUGUGGGGUUAUUGUGAGGUCGUUGUGGGGUUAUUGUGAGGUCGUUGUGGGGUUAUUGUGAGGUCGUUGUGGGGUUAUUGUGACGUCGUUGUGGGGUUAUUGUGACGUCGUUGUGGGGUUAUUGUGAGGUCGUUGUGGGGUUAUUGUGAGGUCGUUGUGGGGUUAUUGUGAGGUCGUUGUGGGGUUAUUGUGAGGUCGUUGUGGGGUUAUUGUGAGGUCGUUGUGGGGUUAUUGUGAGGUCGUUGUGGGGUUAUUGUGACGUCGUUGUGGGGUUAUUGUGACGUCGUUGUGGGGUUAUUGUGAGGUCGUUGUGGGGUUAUUGUGACGGCGUUGUGGGGUUAUUGUGAGGUCGUUGUGGGGUUAUUGUGAGGUCGUUGUGGGGUUAUUGUGACGUCGUUGUGGGGUUAUUGUGACGUCGUUGUGGGGUUAUUGUGACGUCGUUGUGGGGUUAUUGUGACGUCGUUGUGGGGUUAUUGUGAGGGCGUUGUGGGGUUAUUGUGAGGGCGUUGUGGGGUUAUUGUGAGGUCGUUGUGGGGUUAUUGUGAGGUCGUUGUGGGGUUAUUGUGAGGUCGUUGUGGGGUUAUUGUGAGGUCGUUGUGGGGUUAUUGUGAGGUCGUUGUGGGGUUAUUGUGAGGUCGUUGUGGGGUUAUUGUGAGGUCGUUGUGGGGUUAUUGUGAGGGCGUUGUGGGGUUAUUGUGACGGCGUUGUGGGGUUAUUGUGACGUCGUUGUGGGGUUAUUGUGAGGUCAUUGUGGGGUUAUUGUGAGGUCGUUGUGGGGUUAUUGUGACGGCGUUGUGGGGUUAUUGUGACGGCGUUGUGGGGUUAUUGUGAGGUCGUUGUGGGGUUAUUGUCAGGUCGUUGUGGGGUUAUUGUGACGGCGUUGUGGGGUUAUUGUGAGGUCGUUGUGGGGUUAUUGUGUGUAGAUGAGGAAAAAACAAACAAUUUAAACCAUUUUUAGAAAAAGGCUUUAACAUAAAAUGUGGAAAAAGUCACUGUAUCGACCUCAAUGACCUCGUACCCCUGGACUGGGGACUGGUACCCCGUGUUUAUAGCAGAGUUAUCAUUACUCAGUACUGGUACCCCGUGUAUAUAGUCAAGUUAUUGUUACUCAUUGUGUAUUUGGGGAAGGGAAGGAAAGGGAAGGGAAGGGAAGGGAAGGGAAGGGAAGGGAAGGGAAGGAAGGGAAGGGAAGGGAAGGAAGGGAAGGGAAGGGAAGGAAGGGAAGAGAAAGAAGGGAAGAGAAGGAAGGGAAGAGAAGGGAAGAGAAGGGAAGAGAAGGAAGGGAAGGGAAGGGAAGGGAAGGGAAGGGAAGGGAAGGGAAGGGAAGGGCCCUUACGCAUUUCACUGUUACCCUAAACCUGUUAACAAAGCAUGUGACAAAAUGUGAUCUGAUUUGGAUGGAAACAGCACAGGGACACAAAAUGAGAACGUCCCCUUUUCUCGUUCCUAUAACGGGAACUGACUGAACCUAUCAAGAGCAAGUUGGAGUUGGACUGGAAAACUCUCCCUAACGAGUCGGGAUGAGUAGCUGGUUUAGCUCGGAGAGCGAGAGGUGUGUUUGUUCAGAACCCGGUCUGCCACAGUUGGCUGCGUUUACACAGGCAGCCUAAUUAUG